CGGAGGGGCGUAGCGUUAUUCGGAAUUACUGGGCGUAAAGCGCGCGUAGGCGGUUUUUCUAAGUCAGAGGUGAAAGCCCGGAGCUCAACUCCGGAAUUGCCUUUGAAACUGGAUCACUAGAAUCAUGGAGAGGUCAGUGGAAUUCCGAGUGUAGAGGUGAAAUUCGUAGAUAUUCGGAAGAACACCAGUGGCGAAGGCGACUGACUGGACAUGUAUUGACGCUGAGGUGCGAAAGCGUGGGGAGCAAACAGGAUU
rnacentral:rRNA from 1 species